AUUCGUGAAUCAUCGAAUCUUUGAACGCACAUUGCGCCCUCUGGUAUUCCGGAGGGCAUGCCUGUUUGAGCGUCGUU
rnacentral:rRNA from 1 species